rnacentral:rRNA from 1 species
CCUACGGGCGGCAGCAGUGAGGAAUAUUGGUCAAUGGGCUUACGCCUGAACCAGCCAAGUCGCGUGAGGGAAGACUGCCCUAUGGGUUGUAAACCUCUUUUGUCAGGGAGCAAUUGGCGCUACGUGUAGCGUUAUCGAGAGUACCUGAAGAAAAAGCAUGGUCUAACUCCGUGCCAGCAGCCGCGGUAAUACGGGGGAGGCGAGCGUUAUCCGGAUUUUUUGGGUUUAAAGGGUGCGUAGGCGGAAUGCCAAGUCAGCGGUAAAAUCGCGGGGCCCAACCUCGCUCCGCCGUUGAAACUGGCGUUCUUGAGUGGGCGAGAAGUAUGCGGAAUGCGUGGUGUAGCGGUGAAAUGCAUAGAUAUCGCGCAGAACUCCGAUUGCGAAGGCAGCAUACCGGCGCCCAACUGACGCUGAAGCACGAAAGCGUGGGUAUCGAACAGGAUUAGAUACCCGGGUAGUC